UGGCCUGAAAAGAAUCAGGGAAUGCUAGCGCAUUUUCCUAAAAAAGGAAACUGGCCUUACUGGCAGUGUGAGAGACUAUUUAAAGCGUUUUACUUUUAAGAGGCUCCCAGAACCGGCCAGAGGAACCAGCAGAAGCAAAAGCCCGUCUAACCACAUUAGGGGCUGGUCCUUGGAGUAAUCACCAUAAAAACACCACCACAGGCAGCCACCCUAUUCUCAGCAUGGGCACAGCCCACAGUGUUUCCAGGCCGAAUCCUCACAAUAGCCCAGCACAGUGAGAACAGAGAACACCACGAUCACGUCCAGGCUCAGCGACGUUAUGUAACUGAGAGACCCAAGAUCACAACUGGAAGGAACCCCGAGGCCUUGAACCCAGGGCUGCCCGGGGCGGACUCCCGUUCCAGGAGGCCGGACUUCGGCGACUCGACCUUGGGAAACUCAGACGUGCCUCUUGCUCAUGUCACAAGCCACACGCUUCUUCAUUCACCCACCGAGAGAAGUUCCAGGAUGGAUAGUCUGGGUGUGGAGAGAAAGGACGAUGGACAGUGGUCAAGGAGAAAUUCCUUUUCUGGUUCGUGUUAUUUCUCUUGCACCAUCUCAGGAAUAUGUAUAGGCUGGUAAUUCAAUUCUAGAGGGAACUGGAAUAUUAAAGAAGAACCUUCAUGUUGCGGCUCCAUCCGACUCGAGUCUUCCAGUGGCAACGAGCAGCUCCGCCGGCUCAAGGAGCGUUCAUUUGCUGGAUGCACUCAUGUAACCAACUUCCGGAUAAUCAAGGAGCUGAGCAUUACACACCCUCUUCACUCAACCUCCACCUGCUGCCCCGUACACACCUCGAGUAACUAUCAACUGGAUGCCACCAGAGAUGGAACCAAUGUGAAAUAACUCAUGAUAAGCAGAAUGGAAGAAAAAACACAGGAGAAAAUGUUCAAGGGAAAAAUAGAAGCCCCUGUGAAGGGAACACACCAUGAGAAAGAGCCUCUUAACACGUUUUGAAUGUCCCGACAUUAUUGUUGACUGUAAUGACAACUCCUGCAAGAAAACACGGGGGAAAAGAUUCAUGUCCUUGGACUUGGCAAUGAUUUCAUGGCUCUGACCCCAAAAGCACAGGCAAUCAAAAUACAACGGCCAGAUGAGAUGACAUCAAAUGAAAUAGCUUCCACACAGCAAUGGAAACAAUCAACAGAGUGAAAAGACCGCCUACGGAAUGGGAGCAAAGAUUUGCAAAGAAACACCUCCUCUCGGAUCUUGCUUUUCCCUUUCCCACCGCAAUUUUGCUGCUUGAUGUUUUUCUCCCGAGGCCUCCAUGUCUGGUAGGUAUGUCUUUGCAGUAUUGAUCAGUAAUGAUACUAUCUUAUGCUGGUAUAUUUCAUAAGUCUGAGAAUGCAUAGCAACAGUUUUCAUACAUUCCCAUCAAUG